rnacentral:misc_RNA from 1 species
GGAAGUAAAAGUCGUAGCAAGGUUUCCGUGGGUGAACCUGCGGAAGGAUCAUUAUUGUAUAAUCGAGGUGCGAGGGCUGUCGCUGACCCGAAAGGUCGUGCACGCCCGAGUGCCCUCACACACAUCCAUCUCACCCCUAUGUGCACCACCGCGUGGGUCCCCCUUUGGCUUGUUCGGAGGGGGGCUUACGUUUUCACACAAACUUUGUAUGCAGUGUAGAAUGUAUUUUUUGUUUUUGCGAUCACGCAAUCAAUACAACUUUCAACAACGGAUCUCUUGGCUCUC